rnacentral:lncRNA from 1 species
CAAACGCCCAGUUAGAACAGUAUAAAAGGCGCUGAAGACCUCAAGCAAGUCGACGAUCCGUCCCACCGACCAGUCUACUAGUCAGUCUGUUGAUCUGACUACCGACCGGGACACCUGCACCUGAUCCCGCUGGAAGGAGCAUCGCCGCCGACCAGACGAGACCAGAGGACGAGGCCAGCGGAGAGACGGACAGCCUAGCACCGACUCGACGCCCUUCGUCUACGUCGGACCCUCUGACCCGACGGGAGGAAACGUCGCGCUCCCAUAAGGACUUGCGCAGUACAGAGGAGGAAGUAGGGCUCAGAAGAACUCAAGUGAUGCUGCUGCAUCCUCCUGGUUAAGCAGGUUAUCUGGCCUUGGCUGGAGCCAUCGCCAGGUCCCUGGGCCAGUCCCUGUGCGUGUUUCUUCUGUCACACCACAGGAAAGGAAGCCAGCUGAGGAAAGGCGUUGGCAUCGAUGAACUGGAGAGGUCAGAGCCUGCCCUCUGUCCCUGCCACCCAAGUGCCCGCUGAUCGGCCUAAGCCUCCCCAGGACGCCUGUCCACCUCUGGACUCUGCCCUGGUGCCCCGAGGAGCCUGGGCUGCGAGGAACCUCAGCUCCUGAAGAGCUGCUCACACCAGGACACAGACACCUGCCUGCAUAAUUGUCCUGUGGCGCUGUCCCAGUCCCUCUCGGGCCCCCAUUCAGGCGGGUGACUGUGGAGAGAAUGAUCAGAGAGCUGCAGGGCCAGGACAGGGUCCUGAGGCUCAUGGCGGCGGAAGCUAGCAGCCAUUCUUGGGAUGGAGGCCUAGCCUUGCUCUGGGCUCCACAGGCCCUUUCCCUUUCCUCAUUCCCGGCUCUGCUGGAGGCUGAAUCUGGAUCAAGUUGACCGCUCCAGGUUAAUUGGCUUUCUCUCCCUGCCAGCAUGACGGAUCCUGCCUGACAUUUCCCCAGAUAGUUAAUUGAUACCCGAGUAAUUUGUCAUGGAGACCUCGUUAUAUGCCAAGUGGGUCCCCUAAGCCGUUAGCGUCUGUGCCCCAGAAAUAAGAUUGGCAAGUUAAUAAUGGAGCCUUAAUCACACUGUUCCCUGCUGGUUUGGGGAGAGAAUUACUGGGAGACAGGGCGGGGUGCCGGUGGGAGGAGACAAUGGCAUCCUAGGACCUUGUGGAUGAAGCUUCAUGGGACCCCAAAGCCACUGCCCUUUCUGCAGAACCCCAGCCUUAGUUUCCUCACUGAGGUGUAACUUCUUUGGGCAACAGUGCUUUGAUUUCCCACU